rnacentral:rRNA from 1 species
GACGAACGCUGGCGGCGUGCUUAACACAUGCAAGUCGAACGAAGUGGCGAACGGGUGAGUAACGCGGAAUCACCCUGCCCUUCAGAGGGGGACAACAGUUGGACACGACUGCUAAUACCGCAUACGGAAGGAGGGGAUUGCGUCUGGUUAGCUAGUUGGAGGGGUAACGGCCCACCAAGGCGAUGAUCAGUAGGCGGUCUGAUCGGAUGGACGGCCACAUGGGGACUGUGACACGGCCCAGACUCCUACGGGAGGCAGCAGUGGGGAAUCUUCCGCAAAGGACGAAAGUCUGACGGGGCAACGCCGCGUGAGUGAUGACGGCCUUCGGGUUGUAAAGCUUUGUUAAUCGGGACGCGGUACCGGAAUAGAAAGCCACGGCUAACUACGUGCCAGCAGCCGCGGUAAUAC